UACGUAGGGUGCGAGCGCUAAUCGGAAUUACUGGGCGUAAAGCGUGCGCAGGCGGUCUGUUAAGACAGAUGUGAAAUCCCCGGGCUUAACCUGGGAACUGCAUUUGUGACUGGCAGGCUAGAGUAUGGCAGAGGGGGGUAGAAUUCCACGUGUAGCAGUGAAAUGCGUAGAGAUGUGGAGGAAUACCGAUGGCGAAGGCAGCCCCCUGGGCCAAUACUGACGCUCAUGCACGAAAGCGUGGGGAGCAAACAGG
rnacentral:rRNA from 1 species